CAAAAUUCCGGACCCGGGAUAUGAGCACUGGGAGGACGCUUAUCGAUGUUUCAUCCCGCACUGUUGGUAGUUGCGGGCUAGUAAGAGGCUGGGCAAGUUGGAAGAUUUGCGGAAAGGCUGAAUACGGGGAAGGGAUCUCUUCGGAGUGAACGAACUGAAACUGAGGUGGGCCGAGAAAAGCCCCAAAGGCGUUAAUCAUAUUUCCGACCGUACUGUAAACCGACACAGGUGGGUGAGUCGAGGAGACUAAGGCGUUCGAGAGAACUCUCGUUAAGGAACUAGGCAAACGAGCCCCGUAACUUCGGGAUAAGGGGCGCCUCGAAAGAGGUCGCAGCGAAGCAGCCCAGGCGACUGUUUACCAAAAACACAGGUCUCUGCUAAGACGAAAGUCGAUGUAUAGGGGCUGACGCCUGCCCAAUGCCAGUAGGUUAACAGGAGAUGUCAGACGUAAGUUGAAGCAUUGAAUCGAAGCCCUGGUGAAUGGCGGCCGUAACUCUAACGGUCCUAAGGUAGCGAAAUUCCUUGUCGGCUAAAUACCGACCCGCAUGAAAGGCGUAACGACUUGGGCACUGUCUCAACGAGAAGCUCGGUGAAAUUGUAGCACCCGUGAAGAUGCGGGUUAUGCGCAGUAGGACGGAAAGACCCCUGGAGCUUUACUACACCCUGUCAUUGGGAUUCGGAUGUAGAUGUAGAGCGUAGGUGGGAGCUUCGGCACCAAUGGAACACCACCCUUUUGCAUCUGGAUUCCUAACGCUUGCCCUUAUCGGGUACGCGGACAAUGACUGGCGGGUAGUUUGACUGGGGCGGUCGCCUCCCAAAAGGUAACGGAGGCGCCUAAAGGUGCACUCAGGCUGGUUGGAAAUCAGCCGUUGAGCGUAUAGGUAUACAGUGCGCUUGACUGCGAGACAGACAGGUCGAGCAGGGACGAAAGUCGAGCUAAGUGACCCUCUGGUGGUGCGGGGGCACGCCAGGGUUCAUCGGAUAUAAGCUACCCCGGGGAUAACAGGCUGAUCUUGCCCGAGCGCUCACAGCGACGGCAUGGUUUGGCACCUCGAUGUCGGCUCGUCGCAUCCUGGGGCUGUACACGGUCCCAAGGGUUCCGGAGUUCACGGAUUAAAGCGGCACGCGAGCUGGGUUCAGAACGGCGUGAGCCAGUUCGGUCCCUAUCCACUGCGCACGUAGGAAAUUUGAGAGGAGUCGCUCUUAGUACGAGAGGACCGGAGCGAACCGACCUCUGGUGUACCGGUUGUUCCGCCAGGAGCAUACGCCGGGUAGCCACGUCGGGCCGUGAUAAGCGCUGAAAGCAUCUAAGCGCCAAGCACACCUCAAGAUGAAAUUUCCCAUCAAAUGAGUAAGACCCCCGGAAGACUACCGGUUUGAUAGGUCGCGGCUGUGAGGGCAGUAAUGUCCUAAGGUGAGCGAUACUAAGCGGUCGAGGGCUAA
rnacentral:rRNA from 1 species